rnacentral:tRNA from 1 species
GUGUGUGUAGCUCAGCUGGAUAGAGCGUCUGGCUACGGACCAGAAGAUCGCGCGUUCGAAUCGUGUCACACACG